ACAGCUAUAUCACAUUGAGACACUGGUUUCCGUAUGAUCCCCAAAGUUAAGCAAUGUCGAGCUUGGUCGGUCCCUAGAUGGAUGGCCGCUUGGGAAUACCUGGUGUUG